UACAGAGGUGGCAAGCGUUGUUCGGAAUUACUGGGCGUAAAGGGCGCGUAGGCGGCCAUCUAAGUCAGACGUGAAAUCCCCCGGCUUAACCUGGGAACUGCGUCUGAUACUGGAAGGCUUGAGUAUGGGAGAGGGAUGUAGAAUUCCAGGUGUAGCGGUGAAAUGCGUAGAUAUCUGGAGGAAUACCGGUGGCGAAGGCGGCAUCCUGGACCAUUACUGACGCUGAGGCGCGAAGGCCAGGGGAGCAAACGGG
rnacentral:rRNA from 1 species